rnacentral:rRNA from 1 species
GAUGAACGCUGGCGGCGUGCCUAAUACAUGCAAGUCGAGCGAACAGACGAGGAGCUUGCUCCUCUGACGUUAGCGGCGGACGGGUGAGUAACACGUGGAUAACCUACCUAUAAGACUGGGAUAACUUCGGGAAACCGGAGCUAAUACCGGAUAAUAUAUUGAACCGCAUGGUUCAAUAGUGAAAGACGGUUUUGCUGUCACUUAUAGAUGGAUCCGCGCCGCAUUAGCUAGUUGGUAAGGUAACGGCUUACCAAGGCAACGAGCGUAGCCGACCUGAGAGGGUGAUCGGCCACACUGGAACUGAGACACGGUCCAGACUCCUACGGGAGGCAGCAGUAGGGAAUCUUCCGCAAUGGGCGAAAGCUUGACGGAGCAACGCCGCGUGAGUGAUGAAGGUCUUCGGAUCGUAAAACUCUGUUAUUAGGGAAGAACAAAUGUGUAAGUAACUAUGCACGUCUUGACGGUACCUAAUCAGAAAGCCACGGCUAACUACGUG